CGGGGUGGAGUAAUGUCUGGGAAACGGCCUGAUGGAGGGGGAUAACUACUGGAAACGGUAGCUAAUACCGCAUAACGUCUUCGGACCAAAGUGGGGGACCUUCGGGCCUCACGCCAUCGGAUGUGCCCAGAUGGGAUUAGCUAGUAGGUGGGGUAAUGGCUCACCUAGGCGACGAUCCCUAGCUGGUCUGAGAGGAUGACCAGCCACACUGGAACUGAGACACGGUCCAG
rnacentral:rRNA from 1 species